rnacentral:rRNA from 1 species
CCUACGGGUGGCAGCAGUGAGGAAUAUUGGUCAAUGGGCGAGAGCCUGAACCAGCCAAGUCGCGUGAGGGAGUACUGCCCUAUGGGUUGUAAACCUCUUUUGUCGGGGAGCAAAAGCCGGACGUUUCCGGCUGUGAGAGUACCCGAAGAAAACGCAUCGGCUAACUCCGUGCCAGCAGCCGCGGUAAUACGGAGGAUGCGAGCGUUAUCCGGAUUUAUUGGGUUUAAAGGGUGCGCAGGCGGAUUGUUAAGUCAGCGGUAAAAUCGUGGGGCUCAACCCCAUCCAGCCGUUGAAACUGGGGAUCUAGAGUGUGCGAGAGGUAUGCGGAAUGCGUGGUGUAGCGGUGAAAUGCAUAGAUAUCACGCAGAACCCCGAUUGCGAAGGCAGCAUACCGGUGCACAACUGACGCUCAGGCACGAAAGCGUGGGUAUCGAACAGGAUUAGAUACCCGAGUAGUC